CGAGUGAGGGCCCUCUGGGUCCAACCUCCCACCCAUGUAUAUCGUACCUUGUUGCUUCGGCGGGCCCGCCUCACGGCCGCCGGGGGGCAUCUGCCCCCGGGCCCGCGCCCGCCGAAGACACCCACGAACUCUGUCUGAAGAUUGCAGUCUGAGUGAAAUGAUAAAUUAUUUAAAACUUUCAACAACGGAUCUCUUGGUUCCGGCAUCGAUGAAGAACGCAGCGAAAUGCGAUACGUAAUGUGAAUUGCAGAAUUCAGUGAAUCAUCGAGUCUUUGAACGCACAUUGCGCCCUCUGGUAUUCCGGAGGGCAUGCCUGUCCGAGCGUCAUUGCUGCCCUCAAGCACGGCUUGUGUGUUGGGCCCCGUCCUCCGCUCCCGGGGGACGGGCCCGAAAGGCAGCGGCGGCACCGCGUCCGGUCCUCGAGCGUAUGGGGCUUUGUCACCCGCUCUGCAGGCCCGGCCGGCGCCAGCCGAUCAACCAAACUUUUUUCCAGGUUGACCUCGGAUCAGGUAGGGAUACCCGCUGAACUUAAGCAUAUCAAUAAGCGGAGGAAAAGAAACCAACAGGGAUUGCCCCAGUAACGGCGAGUGAAGCGGCAAGAGCUCAAAUUUGAAAGCUGGCUCCUUCGGGGUCCGCAUUGUAAUUUGCAGAGGAUGCUUCGGGAGCGGUCCCCAUCUAAGUGCC
rnacentral:rRNA from 1 species